rnacentral:rRNA from 1 species
AGUCACUGACAUUAGAUACCCGGGUAGUCCAGGGUGUAAACGCUGCAGACUUGGUGUUGGAAGUCCUUUGGGGGCAUUCAGUGCCGGAGAGAAGUUGUUAAGUCUGCUACUUGGGGAGUACGUCCGCAAGGAUGAAACUUAAAGGAAUUGGCGGGGGAGCACCGCAACGGGAGGAGCGUGCGGUUUAAUUGGAUUCAACACCGUAAACUCACCAGGGAAGACCGUUACAUGAAGGCCGAGAUGAAGACUCUGCUAGAUUUUCAG